UGCCAGGCAGAAUUUUUCAUUGGCUACCACACCAGCGAUCCCAGCGCUCAUUGGCCACACCCAUCGCCGCCGAGUUUCUAAUCGGGUCAGGGCCCCACAGCCUCUUGGGUAAUUUGGGCGUGAGUCCUCGAGACGGGCGGGGCAACGAGGCCUGGGCUCCGGGGGGUCAGGCCGGGCCCGAGGGCUGGAAUCUCUGGCUUGCUUCCAUUUUCGGUUUAGGCCCAGGCUGUGGUAACUUAAACCUUAUCUGCCCGCCAUCCUCAUUUGCAUCCGAAAAUGAAAGGGGACUGGAAAGGACGCUCACUUUCUAGCAAUAUUGGUCACUGAAUCACAUGGUAAGCAACAGGGGAGAACUCAUGGUGUCUGAAGAGGUCUUGGUCCAGGAAGGAUGGUCUCUUCUGAGGAUAUGGAUUGGCUUACCUGACGAUGUUAAGAAGAGAAAACCAUCACACACAUUCCUUUUCCUUUCACCAUUCUCUUAGGAGCAAGUGGCCUUUCAGGGGCAUUUUCUUCCCCAUAUGUAGAGGAUUUUUGUUGUUGUCCAUUGUUGCUAUUGACUUGGGACUAUUUCUGUCUGUUUAUCCCUGGGGUUGUGUACUAUGAAAAUGUGUCUGUUUUAUUGCUGAUAAAGCUGUUUGACCUCUUUCAAUUGAACUUUUUAUCUUAUUUUUCAAUUGAUUCAGAACCAGACUAGAAGAGUAAUAUCAUUUACUGUAGUUCUAAGCAGUUACUAUUAUUAAUAUUAUCAUGUAUGUGCCAAAACAAUUAUAAGCAAGUAAAUAUGACAGAGUUUAGAUUAUAAAGAAACUGUAAGUCAGUAUAAUGUGUGGCAAUUUAUGGGGGGGAGGGAAAGAACUCUCCUGGCACACAUAUUUUGAAUUCUGAAAUUACAGUGCUGGCGAGCUAAGGGAGAGAGGUCCACAUUCCACGACCACAGUAGCACAAUGAACAAAGUGUGCUAUUGUAGACUGCACUGGUGGGAAAAUAUUUCAUUAUAGUAUGAGGCUCUAUUCUUGUCAUACUUACUAAAGAGGAGCAGAACACAUUCAAUAGUUAGCUGUAACGCUUCUGUUCUUCUAGUAUGCUCUGACCACAAGAAUGAAACAUACGAUUGCAUAUUAUUUAUUAACUCUAUAGUUUCUAUUUGUUUCAGGAAAGUAGUUCACUUGAGUUGUAUAUAAAUUCAUUAGCCUUGUUUAAAUUCUGCAGAUUGUUCUUUUAUAGAGUUUCAGUUUCUGUGAGGUUUGUAUAUCUUGUAGAAUGGUUUUAAAUAAAAUAUGCCUUUAUAA